UUAACCCCUAGAGGCAUUACAGGUGUGGUUGCUGUGUCACAUGUACAUCAGUAGGUGGCAGAGAGGAGAGAUGCCAUGUCCAUGCUUAGUGUUCUGACCAGUGAACAUCUGAAUGCUUAGUAGCCUAACAUU